UUCAAUCAAUCGUACGUACGCGCGACAGACGUGCGGCGCGACGCGCAUCGCAACUCGCGGAGCGCGCCGCCGCCGUCCCGUUCCCCGCCGCACCCCACGCAUGCCAUCGCCGCCAGGCGCCAGUCGCCGCCGCGCCGCCCGCGCACUCUUAACUAUCUCAUGUGUUCUCCGUCAACUCUAUGCGCUAAGUGAAUUCCUCGGACUCUCAUUGUGAAUAAUAAUAAUUGCAAUCACCUACAGGCUACAAUCAUUUCUUGAGACAUGGCAGAUGACAAAAAAAUGUCUGGAGCACAAUUUCGUAAGAGAAAAUUAGAGAAACAAUUAUCGUUAGCAAAGCAAGCAGACUCGUUCAAGAAGUAUCUUCGUCCAAAUCUUCAAGAACCGCAACCAUCAGGCAGCAAUACAAAUGAUGAUAUGAAAGAAGACAUAACCAAUCCCACCACAGGAAGCUGUACUACAGAAGGUCCCGCUUUAUUUUCAGCAAAAGAAAAUAC